AUUGUUCGCAAUGGGCGCAAGCCUGACGACGCAACGCCGCGUGGAGGAUGAAGACUUUCGGGUCGUAAACUCCUUUCGACCGAGAUGAACGUCUCCCGACCCAACACGUCGGGAGAGUGACAGUAUCGAGGGAAGAAGCCCCGGCUAACUCUGUGCCAGCAGCCGCGGUAAUACAGGGGGGGCAAGCGUUGUUCGGAAUUACUGGGCGUAAAGGGUUCGUAGGUGGACAACUAAGUCAGACGUGAAAUCCCUCAGCUUAACUGGGGAACUGCGUCUGAUACUGGUUGGCUUGAGUGCAGGAGAGGAACGCGGAAUUCCAGGUGUAGCGGUGAAAUGCGUAGAUAUCUGGAGGAACACCGGUGGCGAAGGCGGCGUUCUGGACUGCAACUGACACUGAGGAACGAAAGCCAGGGGAGCAA
rnacentral:rRNA from 1 species